UGAUUUAUCUACCUAAAAUUUUAUAAUUUUGUUGAUAGCUCGCCGAAUCCAGGCCCAAGACUCAAUCCAAGCCCAGACACAGGUAAAUACGUAUACGUAUAGGUGCAAAAGCUGUACAUUCAACACUAUUCAUUUCGCCUCUUCUCUGCGAAUCAAUUGGCGUGAACAUGGCAGCUUUGAAGAUAACUGGUGCUAUUGCUGCUUCAUUUGUAGUUGCAUUUACAUGCGACUAUUUCAUUGCUGACAGGAAAAUCUUUGGAGGCACCACGCCAGGCACUGUUUCUAAUAAAGAAUGGGCACAAGAGACUGACAAAAAGUUCCAGGCAUGGCCUAGGACUGCUGGUCCCCCCGUAGUCAUGAACCCAAUCAGUCGUCAGAACUUUAUUGUCAAAGGCAGCUCUGAAGAAUGAAGCUAAAUAUACUAGCAUGGAGUGCUGAUGGUUUUGAUUGCAAUACAUCUCUGCAACAGUAUAAAUUUUAACUUGUUAAGUAUCGGACAAUGAUGAUAUGGAUAAUAAGGUUUUUAGUAUACCAUUGUUGAAUUGAUUGUCAAUACUUUAGCCAGUAUGCCUAAUUUAGGGAUUCUAUGCUACAACUUAAAUUAAAUAAUUCUUUUUGUGAAAAAAAGUUUGCUCUA